GAUGAACGCUAGCGGCAGGCUUAAUACAUGCAAGUCGUGGGGCAGCAGGUCCCGCAGCAAUGCGGGAUGCUGGCGACCGGCAAACGGGUGCGGAACACGUACACAACCUUCCUUUAAGUGGGGCAUAGCCUAAGGAAACUUGGAUUAAUACCCCGUAACAUAUUGAAAAGGCAUCUUUUUAAUAUUAUAGCAGCAAUGCGCUUGAAGACGGGUGUGCGUCUGAUUAGGAGUUGGGUGGGGUAACGGCCCACCAAGCCUUCGAUCAGUAACUGGUGUGAGAGCACGACCAGUCACACGGGCACUGAGACACGGGCCCGACUCCUACGGGAGGCAGCAGUAAGGAAUAUUGGUCAAUGGACGCAAGUCUGAACCAGCCAUGCCGCGUGGAGGAUGAAGGUCCUCUGGAUUGUAAAC
rnacentral:rRNA from 1 species